UUAAGCGACUAAGCGUACACGGUGGAUGCCCUGGCAGUCAGAGGCGAUGAAGGACGUGCUAAUCUGCGAAAAGCGUCGGUAAGGUGAUAUGAACCGUUAUAACCGGCGAUGUCCGAAUGGGGAAACCCAGUGCAAUUCGUUGCACUAUCGUUAACUGAAUACAUAGGUUAACGAGGCGAACCGGGGGAACUGAAACAUCUAAGUACCCCGAGGAAAAGAAAUCAACCGAGAUUCCCCCAGUAGCGGCGAGCGAACGGGGAGCAGCCCAGAGUCUGAAUCAGCUUGUGUGUUAGUGGAACGGUCUGGAAAGUCCGACGGUACAGGGUGAUAGUCCCGUACACCAAAAUGCACAGGUUGUGAACUCGAAGAGUAGGGCGGGACACGUGGUAUCCUGUCUGAAUAUGGGGGGACCAUCCUCCAAGGCUAAAUACUCCUGACUGACCGAUAGUGAACCAGUACCGUGAGGGAAAGGCGAAAAGAACCCCGGCGAGGGGAGUGAAAAAGAACCUGAAACCGUGUACGUACAAGCAGUGGGAGCACCUUCGGGUGUGACUGCGUACCUUUGUAUAAUGGGUCAGCGACUUAUAUUCUGUAGCAAGGUUAACCGUAUAGGGAGCCGCAGGAAACCGAGUCUUAACUGGGCGUUAAGUUGCAGGGUAUAGACCCGAAACCCGGUGAUCUAGCCAUGGGCAGGUUGAAGGUUGGGUAACACUAACUGGAGGACCGAACCGACUAAUGUUGAAAAAUUAGCGGAUGACUUGUGGCUGGGGGUGAAAGGCCAAUCAAACCGGGAGAUAGCUGGUUCUCCCCGAAAGCUAUUUAGGUAGCGCCUCGUGAACUCAUCUUCGGGGGUAGAGCACUGUUUCGGCUAGGGGGUCAUCCCGACUUACCAACCCGAUGCAAACUACGAAUACCGAAGAAUGUUAUCACGGGAGACACACGGCGGGUGCUAACGUCCGUCGUGAAGAGGGAAACAACCCAGACCGCCAGCUAAGGUCCCAAAGUCAUGGUUAAGUGGGAAACGAUGUGGGAAGGCACAGACAGCCAGGAUGUUGGCUUAGAAGCAGCCAUCAUUUAAAGAAAGCGUAAUAGCUCACUGGUCGAGUCGGCCUGCGCGGAAGAUGUAACGGGGCUAAACCAUGCACCGAAGCUGCGGCAGCGACACUAUGUGUUGUUGGGUAGGGGAGCGUUCUGUAAGCCUGCGAAGGUGUGCUGUGAGGCAUGCUGGAGGUAUCAGAAGUGCGAAUGCUGACAUAAGUAACGAUAAAGCGGGUGAAAAGCCCGCUCGCCGGAAGACCAAGGGUUCCUGUCCAACGUUAAUCGGGGCAGGGUGAGUCGACCCCUAAGGCGAGGCCGAAAGGCGUAGUCGAUGGGAAACAGGUUAAUAUUCCUGUACUUGGUGUUACUGCGAAGGGGGGACGGAGAAGGCUAUGUUAGCCGGGCGACGGUUGUCCCGGUUUAAGCAUGUAGGCUGGUUAUCCAGGCAAAUCCGGAUAAUCAAGGCUGAGGUGUGAUGACGAGGCACUACGGUGCUGAAGUAACAAAUGCCCUGCUUCCAGGAAAAGCCUCUAAGCAUCAGGUAACAUCAAAUCGUACCCCAAACCGACACAGGUGGUCAGGUAGAGAAUACCAAGGCGCUUGAGAGAACUCGGGUGAAGGAACUAGGCAAAAUGGUGCCGUAACUUCGGGAGAAGGCACGCUGGUGUGUAGGUGAAGUCCCUGCGGAUGGAGCUGAGACCAGUCGAAGAUACCAGCUGGCUGCAACUGUUUAUUAAAAACACAGCACUGUGCAAACACGAAAGUGGACGUAUACGGUGUGACGCCUGCCCGGUGCCGGAAGGUUAAUUGAUGGGGUUAUCCGUAAGGAGAAGCUCUUGAUCGAAGCCCGGUAAACGGCGGCCGUAACUAUAACGGUCCUAAGGUAGCGAAAUUCCUUGUCGGGUAAGUUCCGACCUGCACGAAUGGCGUAAUGAUGGCCAGGCUGUCUCCACCCGAGACUCAGUGAAAUUGAACUCGCUGUGAAGAUGCAGUGUACCCGCGGCAAGACGGAAAGACCCCGUGAACCUUUACUAUAGCUUGACACUGAACAUUGAGCCUUGAUGUGUAGGAUAGGUGGGAGGCUUUGAAGCGUGGACGCCAGUCUGCGUGGAGCCAACCUUGAAAUACCACCCUUUAAUGUUUGAUGUUCUAACGUUGGCCCCUGACCGGGGUUGCGGACAGUGUCUGGUGGGUAGUUUGACUGGGGCGGUCUCCUCCCAAAGCGUAACGGAGGAGCACGAAGGUUAGCUAAUCCUGGUCGGACAUCAGGAGGUUAGUGCAAUGGCAUAAGCUAGCUUGACUGCGAGCGUGACGGCGCGAGCAGGUGCGAAAGCAGGUCAUAGUGAUCCGGUGGUUCUGAAUGGAAGGGCCAUCGCUCAACGGAUAAAAGGUACUCCGGGGAUAACAGGCUGAUACCGCCCAAGAGUUCAUAUCGACGGCGGUGUUUGGCACCUCGAUGUCGGCUCAUCACAUCCUGGGGCUGAAGUAGGUCCCAAGGGUAUGGCUGUUCGCCAUUUAAAGUGGUACGCGAGCUGGGUUUAGAACGUCGUGAGACAGUUCGGUCCCUAUCUGCCGUGGGCGCUGGAGAAUUGAGGGGGGGGCUGCUCCUAGUACGAGAGGACCGGAGUGGACGCAUCACUGGUGUUCGGGUUGUCAUGCCAAUGGCACUGCCCGGUAGCUAAAUGCGGAAGAGAUAAGUGCUGAAAGCAUCUAAGCACGAAACUUGCCCCGAGAUGAGUUCUCCCUGAGACUAUAAGUCUCCUGAAGGAACGUUAAAGACGAUGACGUUGAUAGGCCGGGUGUGUAAGCGCAGCGAUGCGUUGAGCUAACCGGUACUAAUGAACCGUGAGGCUUAACCU
rnacentral:rRNA from 1 species